rnacentral:lncRNA from 1 species
AGGGAUGUUAUUUUGGGCAGUGCAUCUGGACUUGGUUCAAGUGGCACCAGCCAAAUCCCUGCCUUACUGACCUCUCCCCUGGAGGAGCAGGAGCAGCGCUCAAGGCCGCCUUGGGAGGGCUGAGAGGCAGGCUCUGGACUGGGGACACAGGGAUAGCUGAGCCCCAGCUGGGGGUGGAAGCUGAGCCAGAGACAGUCACAGAGGAACAAGAUCAAGAUGCGCUUUAACUGAGAAGCCCCCAAGGCAGAGGCUGAGAAUCAGAAGACAUUUCAGCAGACAUCUACAAAUCUGAAGGACAAAACAUGGUUCAAGCAUCUGGGCACAGGCGAACAUACAUAUGAUAGUUGAGAAAGACACAUAUUCUGAUCAUGAAGAAAUAAACACAAGUUAAAUAUGACUAAGCAGAAAGAUGGAAGGACCAGGAACGGUGAUGCUAACUUGGAACCACGAUGCAGGCUCUAAUCUCCUCUACAAUCAUCCUCCCUUGUGAGAAAAAUACAUAAGAUCUAAGGCACAUGAGAUGAUACGCUUUCUGUUUGAGUUUCUCCUUUAUGUUACGCAUACUGAUAAAAUUGUUGACGCCAGUUGAUCUGAAGGUCCCAGCAAGGAGCCGACUCACAGAAGAAUGCAGUU